UACGGAGGGUGCAAGCGUUGUCCGGAAUCACUGGGCGUAAAGGGCGCGUAGGCGGCGUUUUUAAGUCGGGGGUGAAAGCCUGUGGCUCAACCACAGAAUGGCCUUCGAUACUGGGACGCUUGAGUAUGGUAGAGGUUGGUGGAACUGCGAGUGUAGAGGUGAAAUUCGUAGAUAUUCGCAAGAACACCAGUGGCGAAGGCGACUCGCUGGACAAGUAUUGACGCUGAGGUGCGAAAGCGUGGGGAGCAAACAGG
rnacentral:rRNA from 1 species